rnacentral:rRNA from 1 species
UACGAAGGGGGCUAGCGUUGUUCGGAAUUACUGGGCGUAAAGCGCGCGCAGGCGGCUUCCCAAGCGCCACGUGAAAGCCCCCGGGCUCAACCCGGGGAGGGUCGCGGCGAACUGGGAGGCUUGGAGGCCGGUAGAGGUGGGUGGGAACUCCUGGUGGAGUGGUGAAAUGCGUAGAGAGUCAGGAAGAACACCCGUGGCGGAAAGGCGGCCC